rnacentral:lncRNA from 1 species
CACCUUUCUUACAUUCUAAGGUCAAAGCAAGUCUCCAGGCCAGUCUAGAUUCAAAUGGUUGAAGAAAGAGCUCCCACCUCUUUAUUAGAGUAGCAACAAUGUGACACUGCAAAAGGGGAUUAGGAAGAUAGAGAAGUGAGUCCUUGGGAACCAUUGUUAUAAUGAUAUAUCACAUGCUUCAUUAAGGGAAAUUGUAAAAAUUAAUAAUUUACAAGUUUCUAACAACCUGCAUUUAUUAACAUAGAACUAGAAGAUCCAGACUGUGUCAGUCAUCAAACAUACAUAUAUUGAGACUCUACUGUUUGUUGAUCCUAAGGAAUCAAAAUAUGUAACUCCUUAUCUGAAGCAAGAAAUAUUCUUUUUUUUUUUUUUGUCUCUUCAAAUUCAAUCUUUUAGGAUCAGUAAAUGAGUGUUCUACGUAAAUAAACAAAACAACAGGUAUUUUUCGAGUGCCUUUUGUGCUUAGGAUUCUGCUAUUUAUCCCUGAGAUGCUUUGCUAAGAGAUAAAUGUGGCAGCUCCUAUAAGUUAUUGAUGCUCUCUGCAGAUGUUCCUACAGAUCUUACACUCUCAGCAUUAAAAUAUGCCCUCAGGGUGUUUGAUAGGGCAUCUGAGUCCUGUUUGGCUCCACCUGCCUUUCCUAUUACACACUUUACCAUAUGGCAAAGAUGCCAGAGUGAGCUCUCAUGUCUUAAAAUAAUUGGAGUAAGUGUCAGAAGGAGGUUAUGAAAUUGUCUGUCUAUACUUUAUGUGCUAAACAAAGUAUUGAGUAUUAGAUUUCAGAGACCUGAAUAGACAUAAGACAUAGACUCAUACAGUGGGAAGGAAAAUACAAAUUAUCCAACCACCCCUCUCAUUUGAAAGAUAAGAAAUUGAGACUCAGAGACUAUCAAGUGAUAUGCUCACAUUAAAGUAUCUAUUUAGCAGUUGACUUGGAACUACAAUCUAGGAAGGCUGUCUGAUGUUUUUUCCGCUGGUGCCUGCCAUCUUAAGACCUUAAUACUUGAGAAAGAGAAAUGAUGAUAUCAAAAUUUUAUUGAGAAUUAACUUUGUGUCAAGCAAUGUCCCAAACUUGGAUUUUCUGUGACUCCUCACAACCACUGGAGAAGUGGGCAUUUUUAGAAUUCCUAUUUAGAGAGGAGGAGAUCUUAAGUAACUUUCCCAAACUUCCAAGACUAAAAAUUUCAGAGGCAGAUUAUCAUUCAGGCAUUCUUACUCUAGAGACUGUGCUUUUAGUCAUUGUGCUAGUCGAACUCUGUGAAUGAGAGUGACAAUGCUUAAAAGGCCAGAGGAGACUGGGAGCUUGCUGAGUUUACAGUGGAAAUCUUUAGGUCCUGAGUGAGGAACUAUGCUGGAGACAGAGGCCAGGCACCUCUUGCGGGAGGACACAGAGCCAGCCUCAUGGUAGUUUGAAUGAAUUCCAAUUUCUUGGUGAACUGACAAUUCAGUAGAAUAUACAUUAUGAAUUUUUCUCUUGCACUGAAGACAUUGCUGACAACAUGAAUGAAUUAAUCUAGACAUUCUAUGGCAUGGGCAAUAAAUCUUUUUUUUUCAUAUUCUACUUUAAAAAUGAUUAGAUUUGUGGUCCAUUCAUUCACUCAUUGUUUCAUUCAAGAAACUGAGCAUCAGUUUUGUGCAAAAAGACAUUGUAUUAGGCAUGGAGCCACUUCAGGGUUACCUUUGGAAGCUGUCUACCUUUUUGCUCUGAUUACAUCAUCAUAUUUGCCAUGGCUCAUGGUACUUUUAACUUUCGUUUUUGUGAGGUAACAACCAAAGUUUGCAAUUCUUAUUUAAGUUUCCAGCACAAAAAAGAUUAGAAAGUCAUCUGUCUCACAUGAUUUUUUUAAAAAAAUAAAUUUCAUUGGAGUAUAGUUGACUUACAAAGCUAUGUCAGUUUCAGGUGUACAACAAAGUAAAUCAGUUACACAUAUCCAUUCCUUUUCAGAUUCUUUUCCCAUACAGGUUAUUACACAGUGUCAAGUAGAUUAUCUUGUACUAUACAUUAGGUCCUUUUACCUAUACAUUUUAUAUAUAGUAGUGUGUAUAUGUCAAUCCCAACCUUCCAAUUUAUCCCCCACCAGGUUUCUCCUUUGGUAACUAUAAAUUUUGUUUCAAAAUCUUUGAGUCUGUUUCUGUUUUAUAAGUUAUUUUGUAUCAUUUUUAUUACAUUCUACAUGUUACUGGUCUCAUAAGACAUGGAAGCAACAUAAAUGUUCAUCAGCAGAGGACUGGAUAAAGAGAUGUCGUACAUACAUACAAUGGAAUAUUACUCGGCCAUAAAAAUAAUGAAAUACUGCUAUUUGUAGCAACACAGAUAGACCUAGAAGUAAUAAUACUAAGUGAAGUAAGUCAGACAGAGAAAGAAAAAUAUCAUAUGGUUUUUGAUUUCCCGUUUUUAAAACAAUUCCAGAAAGCAGGAACACAAAUCUGUCCUUAGUUAAUUUGAAUGAAAAGCUGUUGUACCAGUGAGUACCUGAUGUAGCAAUGAUAUGUAAUGGCUAAAACAUGAAGUAAGUUUGUUUCUGGCUUGUGUAAAAUCCCAACUGAGUAUUUCUGGUAAAUAGGCGAAUCUCUUCAAGUGUUAAUAUAGAUGCCCAUUUCUUCUCAAGGUGGUUGCACAUGUCCACAUCAAGCUGGCAGAAGAGGGAGGAGCAUGGCAGUUGUCACAUAUGUGGUGCUUUUAUGGGUAGACAUGGAAAAACCUAACUGUGAAGGAGCCUGGAAAAUGUAUAUCACUGUAUGCCUAGGAGAAAAAGGAAAUAGUUGAAAAGAGGAGAAGGACUGUGAAAGCCUUUGACUUAAUCCACUUCUCUCUUAAUACACUAACUUUUCUUUAAACCUGCCCGUUUUCUUGAAUAUCUGGUAAAUAUUUACACAUUUUAGUUUUUCAUUUCAGAAAAUUCAAGAAUUACAUUGUCAAAUUUCUUUUGAAAUCAUGUUCAAUGUUUUUACUUUAUAGAUGAGAAAUAUGAGGUCCAGAGAGAUUAAAUAACUUGCAUAAGGUCCCAUGGCUUGUAGGUGACAGGACUAAGACUAGAGCUCAGAGAUUUCUUGUUUUUUCUCCUUCAUAUAAAUUUGAAAUAAUAUCAAUAAUAUCUUCCCAAGCCCUUAUUAUGUUUUACAUUUUAGCCUCACACAGAACAGUUUUGUUUAAUUCCUUUUGCAGCGACCCCAAUAUGAAUAUUUUAAUUAAUUUUAUUUAUCAUUUAUUGUUUGUUUUACUUUUUUUUCUUCAUCGAAGAGGUUCUCACUAUAGCCUUUAGAUGGCACAAGUUAGCUAAUCCAAGGCUGUUUUGUAGCUACAAUAAUUAUAGAAGUUUGAAGAAAAGUUAAUGGAAAAUGAGAGCAUUGAAUAAUAAUUUAAACAAAGUAACAUGUGUUAUCCGCAAAGUCUGCCUGCAUGAAGAAUAAGUCUCUGAACUGGUCUUUAUGUACGAGAGGCUAAUGUUUAGAAAUUUUCUAGUUCUCUAAUUUUGCCAGUGUUGGGUGUCAUUUGGAAUAAAUGACUUUGGGGACAGAUUUGGGGAUAAGAAUUAUCAUGGGAGAAGGCUUUCUGAAUUGGAUUGAAUAUAAAUCUGAGAGGAAGGAAGCCUCACUUUCCCAUAAGUUCUCAAGCAUUCAGGACAAGUUUUCUGUCAGAAUUAUGCUAAUUAUUGCAGAUUCUUAUGGCAUUUGGUAAUUAUUUAUCCCACCAGGUUGUUCCGAAAACCUGUGUAAUGAUGUCUGGAAAUCUGGUAUUUUAUGUACCAUUGUAGGAUGGUGCUGCAGCAGAAUGCUUUGCACCUAUUAGGGAUAUAGCAAUUAUUUGCAGAAUUGAAUUUUCCCAUUUGAUUUUCUUUUCCUCAUUCUUAUCCUCGGAAGGGUUAUACAAUCCCUUCUUCAGAUGGCGAGGAAAAGUACUAUUUACCCAGUGCCUCUUAUGUUGACCCACACCCUUGCAGCCAGUGUGAGGGUAGGAUUCCUAGGAUGGAAAAUCUGCUUUCUAUUGAGAUCUAAUUCAACUCUGCAGACAAUAUUCAGCCAAAGGAAAAAACAUAAACACAAGAGGUAAUAUAAGACUAAAAUACUAUGAUAUGUGAAUAAUUAUUUCUUUUGCUCUGAACAUGAGCAAAUAACCAUUACAUAUAUAAGUAGAUAAAACUUCUAUGAUUUUAUAUUAUUUUAAGAAAUUUUAAAAUUUUUAUUAUAGUUGAUUUACAGUGUUGUGCCAAUUUCUGCUGUACAGCAAAGUGUAUAAAUACACACACAUUCCCUUUCUUAUAUUAUCUUCCAUCAUGGUCUAUCCCAAGAGGCUGGUUCCUGGGCUAUACAUUUUAAAUAUAAUAGUUUGCAUCCACUAACCUCCAACUCCAGAAAAUUCUGUGAUUUUAUAAAGAAUAUUGGAAUCAGUUGGAGUUUGAAUAUGCUAACUUCAUUUUUUUGGACAAUGUCAGUUUCCGGGUUUAUGUAAAUAACAAUGUGAAAUAGGCAAAGCUAAUCGUUGGUGUUUUUGGACUCAACGUGGUGAGUCACUUUUCAUUCUGUGUGAUAUCACUAACCUCAUUUCACUCCCAGUAGCUAAAGUCUUCUUAUUCUCUUUUCAUAAUUUUGACAAAAUCCACUCUCUCAACCUUCACAAUAAAGCAUAUAUGACUGAUACUGGCCUCAAUCGUUUCUGAUAUCCACUGGGUUUUCCAUUUUAACUAAUAUUAACCACCUUCUAAGCAAAAGGUGUGAAGUUAAAUAGAUGUACUAUUUGGGUAAAAAUGUACACAUGGUCAUUAUAAAAAUUCAAAUAGUAUAGAUAAGUAUAUCCCAAAUUCUGUUUCUCAAAGAUAACCACUAUAAACUUUUUGGUGAAAAUUUCUUCUCUAUCCAUGAUACAUGCAUACAUAUGAACAAAAAUGGGAAAGGAGGUGUGGUGAAACUGAAGCCCUCCACAGGUAAUCCAUUCCAACAGCCAUAUAAUUUGCUUUGCCUACUGGUAAGACAAUUUAGGUAAUGUGUUCAGUAGCUUAAAAUACAUUGUAUCCUGUUGUACCUUGUACCUCUGUGAUUUAAUGAUUUAUCUGUCUUUUAAAUAUUCUGAAGUGCAAAGAAUUAUUUCUGAUGCUUCUCAUACUGUAAAAUAAUUUAAAUUAUGACUAGAAAAUCCCUUCCUAUUUUGGUACAUCUUAUUGCACAGCUUUUGGUGGGAAAGAACAGACACCUGCAUUUUUUUGCUCUUAGUUCCUCAUUAGCAGAGAUUGUGAGUAUGGUUCCAUUCAACUGUUUGAGGGAAAAGGGUUAGGAAAUGUUGGGUAUGAAUCAGUGAAAAAGUGACUAGAAGCAUUUGCAAUACUAGUCUAUUGGUUCAGUCACUAUUAUGUCUUCUAGCACAAAGUUUGAUAUCAUGAAACUAUAUUAUGGCUUUACCAUACCCAUAUUAAAUUUUAAAACUUUAUGUAAAUUUUUAUUUGAAAAUAUCUUCUAUAGAAGAUAAAAUUCCAUACACCUGGUCUUUUGAGUACUUUUCUCCUACUCCAAAUAUCUACAAAUCAUUUUUUUUUCUUUCAGGUCUAGAUUUUAUCUCUCUU